rnacentral:lncRNA from 1 species
GGAAUUUGGGUAAAUGGGUUGUGAAAUUGGAUUUGGGUAUAUGAGUUGGGUUGAAAUUUUAGGGUAAAUAGAUUGUGGUUUGUUGGAUAAUUAGUUUUGGGCCGGAUCAUAUUAUUAAAAAAAAAUUUGGAGCAAAAAAUGGGCCCCUUAAUGGUCUUGGGCCUGAGGCGCGGGCCUCACUGGCCUCGCCCCAGGACCGGGCCUG